AGUGAACGCUGGCGGUAGGCCUAACACAUGCAAGUCGAACGGCAGCACAGUAAGAGCUUGCUCUUACGGGUGGCGAGUGGCGGACGGGUGAGGAAUACAUCGGAAUCUACUUUUUCGUGGGGGAUAACGUAGGGAAACUUACGCUAAUACCGCAUACGACCUACAGGUGAAAGCAGGGGAUCUUCGGACCUUGCGCGAUUGAAUGAGCCGAUGUCGGAUUAGCUAGUUGGCGGGGUAAAGGCCCACCAAGGCGACGAUCCGUAGCUGGUCUGAGAGGAUGAUCAGCCACACUGGAACUGAGACACGGUCCAGACUCCUACGGGAGGCAGCAGUGGGGAAUAUUGGACAAUGGGCGCAAGCCUGAUCCAGCCAUACCGCGUGGGUGAAGAAGGCCUUCGGGUUGUAAAGCCCUUUUGUUGGGAAAGAAAAGCAGCAGGUUAAUACCCCGCUGUUCUGACGGUACCCAAAGAAUAAGCACCGGCUAACUUCGU
rnacentral:rRNA from 1 species